GACGAACGCUGGCGGCGUGCCUAAUACAUGCAAGUCGAGCGGAGUGUGAAAGGAAGCUUGCUUCCUUUCAGACUUAGCGGCGGACGGGUGAGUAACACGUAGGCAACCUGCCCUCAGGCCUGGGAUAACUACCGGAAACGGUAGCUAAUACCGGAUAAUUUCUUUUUUCUCCUGAGGAGAGAAUGAAAGGCGGAGCAAUCUGCUGCUUCAGGAUGGACUCGCGUCCAAUUAGCUAGUUGGUGAGGUAACGGCCCACCAAGGCGACGAUCGGUAGCCGGACUGAGAGGUUGAACGGCCACAUUGGGACUGAGACACGGCCCAG
rnacentral:rRNA from 1 species